CAGGACGAACGCUGGCGGCGUGCUUAACACAUGCAAGUCGAACGAGGAUCAAGGAAGAGCUUGCUCUGAGAUGAUUCGAGUGGCGGACGGGUGAGUAACGCGUGAACAAUCUGUCUCAUACAGGGGGAUAACGCAUCGAAAGAUGUGCUAAUACCGCGUAGGACCACGACAUCGCAUGGUGCGAGGGGUGAAAGGAGCAAUCCGGUAUGAGGUGAGUUCGCGUCUGAUUAGAUAGUUGGUGAGGUAACGGCCCACCAAGUCAACGAUCAGUAGCCGACCUGAGAGGGUGAUCGGCCACAUUGGGACUGAGACACGGCCCAGACUCCUACGGGAGGCAGCAGUGGGGAAUAUUGGGCAAUGGGCGAAAAAGCCUGACCCAGCAACGCCGCGUGAAGGAAGAAGGUUUUCGGAUCGUAAACUUCUGUCCUUGGUGAAGAUAGUGACGGUAGCCAAGGAGGAAGCCCCGGCUAACUACGUGCCAGCCGCCGC
rnacentral:rRNA from 1 species